UACGUAGGGUGCGAGCGUUGUCCGGAAUUACUGGGCGUAAAGAGCUCGUAGGUGGUUUGUCGCGUUGUUCGUGAAAUUCCCUGGCUUAACUGGGGGCGUGCGGGCGAUACGGGCAGACUGGAGUACUGCAGGGGAAACUGGAAUUCCUGGUGUAGCGGUGGAAUGCGCAGAUAUCAGGAGGAACACCGGUGGCGAAGGCGGGUCUCUGGGCAGUAACUGACGCUGAGGAGCGAAAGCGUGGGGAGCGAACAGG
rnacentral:rRNA from 1 species